GAGUCAUCUCUGCACGUGUUUGUCCGCGCUUUUUUUUUUUUUUUUUUCAGCGUUCUUGGAAACCGCUCUGGGUGCCAGUGCACCUCUGGAUGGUGGGGGAAGGGAAGAGUUAAGGCAGAGCCCUCAAAGAAAGAGCAGCCCACUUUUGAAGUGACUUCACUGCUGCGGCCAGCGCCGGGGAGGUGCGCUGGGGAAGUCUGCUGGCGCCGGAGGUUCACCCAGGUGUUGCUCCGGCUCUGGCCCGGCACGUGGGCGCAGCGCGCUUCCCAGGCCACCUGGGUGGGCACCUCUCCCCAGCCAGCUCAGCCUUCCAGCCCCCGGGAUGUGCCCCCUCCACGCCAUGCUGGGACUGCUACUCCUGGGGGUGCUGGGAGCCUUCCCGCAGGAUGGAGUUCGGAGGAACGCCUGCGAGGAAGGCCCCAACCACUCCUACGACCAGACUACUGGGAGGUGCUGUUACCGCUGCCCCGAGGGGCACACCUCGCAGCAGCCCUGCGCACAGGGGUCAUCGGACUGCAGGAAGCAGUGUGACCCCGACUACUACCUGGACAGGGACGGCCGCUGCAAGGCCUGCGUGACCUGUUCUGGAGAUGAUCUCGUGGAGAAGAUUCCAUGCUCAGGGAAUUCCUCCCGCGUCUGUGAGUGUCGGCCUGGUAUGUUCUGUUACACAUCAGCCACCAAAUCCUGUGCCCGCUGUAGGCUGCACUCCGUCUGCCCACCAGGGGAGGUCGUCAGGUUCCAGGGCACAGCAGAAAGGGACACCGUCUGUGAGCGACCUUCCCCAGUGACCAGUCCUGACCGGGCGGCCACCAGCAGCACCCCCCAGGCCAGGCCCCUCAGGACUGCCUCAGCAAGCUCCAGGGCGAGGACCACGCUUCCCGGAAGGGGCGCUUCCCUCACCCUGGAAGACGGUUCCGAAAUGACGAGGGCCCCCAGCUCUCCCUCCUCAGCGCGGGAGCCCGGUCCAGGUCCAGGGCAGAUCUCCCAGCAGCCGUGCGCACAGGGGUCAUCGGACUGUGGGAAGCAGUGUGACCCCGACUACUACCUGGACAGGGACGGCCGCUGCAAGGCCUGCGUGACCUGUUCUGGAGACCUGGUGGAGAAGACGCCGUGCACAUGGAACUCCUCUCGAGUCUGCGAAUGUCGAUCUGGCAUGUUCUGUACCACAUCAGCCACCAACUCCUGUGCCCGCUGUACCCCCCGCUCCAGCUGCCCACCAGGGACGGUCACCAAACCCCAGGGUACAGCUGAAAGAGGUGCCACCCAUGAGCUACCUCCCCCCGAAGCCCACCCUGAUUGCAGCACCAACCCAGAGGACAGCAAGACGUCCACCAGUGCCUCUGCCCCUCUCUUCUCCUCGGGAGACCCCCAGAUCAGUAAGGAGCAUGGAAGGGGCAUCACCCACGCUUGGGGAGACACCCCCAUAUCAACGAGCACUCCCAUCUCUUUCUCCUCCACGGGAAAGCCCAUUCUGGUUUCAGGGCCCGUGCUCUUCUGGAUGGUUGUGCUACUGGUGGUGGUCUUGGGCUCCGUGUCCUUUCUCCUGUGCCACCGGAGGGCCUGCCGGAAGUGGAUUCAGCAGAAGCUCUACCCGUGCUACCCUGUCCAGACCUUCCGGCCCAAGCUGGAGCCUGCAGAUUCCAGGCCUGGGAGGAACCCGACACUGAAGAGUGUGUCGGUGGUGGAGUCGGGCACGGAAGAGCUGGGCUUGCUGAGCCCCCCGGCUGCGGAGGCCUCCCCCGGCGGGGCAGUGUGCCGAGAGAGCAUGCGGCUGCUGGAAGCCAGCCCUCCCGCCGGGAGCCCCUCAUCUCCCAGGGACCUCCCCGAGCCCCCCCGGGUGACCUCGGAGCAUACCAACAACAGGAUCGAGAAGAUCUACAUCAUGAAGGCUGACACAGUGAUUGUGGGGACUGUGAGGACCGAGGUGCCCGAGGGCCGGGGGCUGGUGGGGCUGGCGGGGCCUGAGUUCGAGGAGAAUCUGGAAGUGGACCACGCCCCCCGCUUCCCAGAGCAGGAGACAGAGCCGCCUCUGGACAGCUGUGGGGACGCCAUGUUCUCGGUGGAAGAGGAGGGAAAGGAGGCCUCCUUGCCCAUGACCGUCACGGAGAAAUGAAGCCUGGCCUGGCUUGGGGCUGAGAGGACAGUGGGGUGCCCCCCGGGAGGCCGGGGUGGCCCUGGUGGCACCAGGCUGGGGGCAGAAGCCCUUGUGACCAGAACUGCGGUUCCAGCACCCGGGGGUAGAGCAGCCUGGAGCAAGGGGGUUCCAGGGACCUCUCGUUGCAUCCCUGCCCUGCUGCCCCCCAGCCCAGACCCUCGGGAAGCCUGGGCUUGUGCAGGACAGACGACCCAGGGGCGGGAUCUGAACGGCAGUGUUUGUUGGAGCAGCAGACGGACAGCAGGGACUGGGCACCUGUCUCCUGCCACUGCCCCCAGAGCCCUAAGCAUCAGACACGCGCCAUGGGGGCCAGAGCUCACUGACAGCAGAGGCCGGGAGGCACUGGCCCUGUGCCUUCAGCUCUCACCCUGGGCCGAGGGAGUGAUGCCCCCCCAGACCUUCCCACCAUGUCGGCAGCCCCCAGUUAGUGUACUGUGGCCCCUGUGGGCACUGAGCCAGCACCUUUGGUGGUUUGUCCUGGGUCGAAGGGAAGUCAGGGGCCAAGGCAUCAUGGGUUGGCCCCACCUUGGCAACAGCCGCCCCCCUCCCCCGCGUCCCCCUUCACUGUGCUCUGCGCCCGCAUCCAGGUGACUGCCCAGCCUGGCCCCUAGCCAUGCCGGAGCCAAGUGAAACCCUCCUGGUGCCGCCAGUCCCCUCCUAUUCUGUAGACCCACGGUGGGCUAGGGGUCUGGGGUCACUGAUUGUUUCACAAGGUCCCUAGCUGUCACCUCCACGGGAGGCUCCUUGGGACCCAGACGCUCAGCUGCUGCCGCACCUCACCUGCAGCCGGAGACCCUGCCCACCCAGCUGCUGCCUCGAGAAGAGCCUGCUGGUGGGGAGCCCUGGGUACCUCUGCUGUCCCAGGGCGAUGCGCCUUCCCCACACCUACCAUGCAUUCGGAGCCCAGUGGGCCCAGCCCUGCCCUCGCCCUCUAGCCGCUCAGCACCCAUGGUUGGGAUACGGAUGUCAGAAAGCAACACGGUUUCGCCCCGACUUCUGCCUUCUUCCGAAUUUUCAGAAAAACUAGUAGUCCCGUCUGGACUUGAGGACUUUCGCAUUUCACAUUAAGGAGUAAAGCUGUCCUGACUCGGGUCUGGCUGGCCUGCUCUCCCCAGGGCUUUCAGACUCAUGUGAACAAACAAGGGGCCUUGGAGAGGGAUGUGUGGGCAGAGGACGGGGCUGCCCACAGCUCAGGCCGUUCCACCUCAGCUGCCUGGAGGCCCCUGGAAUUUACCCACUGGAGUCCAGGCCGGGGGAAAGCUGCUGUUUACCCACCAGCUUGCUCAUUCUCUGGAGGAAGUUGGGGCUGGGCCAGGAAUCACAGGGUAGUUUCUGAAACUGCUCAGAUGUUUGGAGGGGCUAGGACACCGAGAGGGACUCACAUCGGAAUCUGAAGACGUUGCCACGUGAAGGACAGUAUUUGCCCAGAUACCCCGUGCAGGAACGGCCGGGGUGCACUGUGCCUGGAGCUCUGGCUGGAAGGGGCCUGAGUACGCCCCACCCCGCUGAGCAGGGCCCUGGCAGUCUUGACUUGAAGAUGCUGUCCCCCUGUUGGAAGAAAUGAAGAACUUCCUUGCCCGAAGUCCCUUCACAAAACCUUUGAUCCUCUGAAAUUUUGAUCCUCAGAAAAUGUGUGAGCAGAGGACACAUCCCCUGCUGCUCAGGGUGGCAGAGGGCAGACCGAGAGGGACCCUCCCAUGCACGGAUAACAUCCCUCUUCCUGAACAGUUGUAUUCAGGGAGUGACGGUAAGUGAUGUGUCCUAAGGAAGCUCUUGCAUUCAUAGGAAACGUAUUCUUUCCCACGGCAGUCUGGUGGGUUGUAAGCCGUUUUCCGUUUGUAGAAUCUCUCAGGCCAGGGCCACUCCCUGAAACGGAGCAGGAGGCUGCAUCUCCAGAGCCUGGGGUCUCCUCUGCGCCCUCUCCGGGGCUGCGGGCCUGAAGAGGGGUCACCGGGAACUGGCUUGUUGGGUUAAACAAAUGAAAAUCUGUGCACGGACAAGGCGGCUUGCUGGCGGCAGGUUCUUGGGUGCCUUCCCUCCCACCCACGUUCUCGAUCCUGUCCUCUAAGAGAUAACAGUGGAGGAGGCGGUGGGGUGGGGGGCCAGCAGGGCCUGAGACAGAGAUGAACUUGGAGCAUCAGGCUGGAUUGGAGGCCAGAGGGAGAAUAUUAAAAGUACCGAGGUCAGCUCUGUCCUGAGGAGGAACUGGCAGAGCCCACCCUGGCUCUUACACCCUCCCGUGGGUCUGGCACCCACGCUGGAUUCGUACCCUGGGGCCAUGCCCAGGGACCAGAGGAGCACAGGUCCCCAGUGGUUGUGAGUGAAUCACAGGCAGAGAGGCCUGACUGCUGCUCUUCGGAGCAAAGACACAGAACUACAGAGAUGUGCAGGUCAGACUUGGGGUUCGAAUCCCAGCUCUGCCACUUACCAGCAAGGCGAUCUUGGUUAUGUGAGGCGCAGGGGUAACACGGGUCCAGCUGUUUCCUGGUCUGCGAGGCAAGAGUGUCAGCCCGUAUCCAGUAGGGUCACGGGGUUCUGUUGGAGGCCGGGGAUCGGGGGCUUGUUCUUGCUGCUGGUAGCUUGUGUCCCAGGCACAGCGUGGCUGCCACCUACCACCGAGUGCGCCCUCAGGGGCUGGCAGAACUCCCGUGCAGGUCACCUUCGAAAGCGUGCUGUGAUUGCUCGUUGGUUCUAGGGAGCCAGUGUUGGCUUGGGCAAGGUUCACCAGGGCCCUCAGGCUCUCCAGAAACCUGGGUUCCUUUGCGGCCAGGUUGUGUGGGAAACCCCACAGUGGAUACACCCCUUCUUGGUCUGCAGGGUGCCCCAGAAACCCCUCAAGUCAAAGUCCUAGGACUGGGCUGUUUGUUAGAUGUCUGACACUCGGGGCAUUUGCGAUGUGCUGUGGGUCCCUCUGCAGGGGACAUCCUGUUCAUGGUUCUAGUGCAUUCCAGUGCAUUGCUGCCUAAGAUCUUUCUCCAGGGGCCUCCCUCACCCCCUUCUUCCCUUCCUCCCAUCCUUUUAAAAACACCUGUGAUGAGCCAGGCCCACGUGUAGCUCCAGAGGGCAUAGAGCACUCAGACAGACUUGCUUGCGCGGGUCUGUGUCGGGUGAAUGGAGACAGAUGACCGUGCAUAACUGACCGGUGAACAAGGUGGUUCCAGAAGCCAUCCUGCUGUAUGUGCUGUGAGAAGCCCCCAUCAGGGGUCUGUGGCAGAGUGUCCGUAGGGGAGGACCAGCUCCAGCCAUGUGGCUGGCUGAGCUCAGAGGAGUGACAUGACAAGAGGGGGUACUGGGAACCUGCGGACAGAACAUUCCGGGAAGUCAGGGGAACCACAGUUGCAAAGGCCCUGAGGUAGGAGUGCUUCUGGCCUCGAGAUUCAGGAAACCCAACCCAGUGGGAGAAGCAGGGCAGAGAGAACAAGGAGGUGAGCCGGGAAGCCCGUGGAUCACAGAGGGAGUGUGGGGCUGCUGGAAGACACUUAGAUUUUAUCAUAAAAACACUGGUAUACAAGGCUUUGUCUUUUUUUCUCUAUGACAACAAUCAACAUCCUGGUAUUAUCUCAGGAAUAGGCGUGAAGGGCCAAAGCAGAGGCGCCAAAGGUUGUUUUAACCUAUUUCUGAGGGAAAUCUAGGAAAGAGGCAGUGGGGGCCGGCUGUCAAGGGGCCGAUGUCCAGGCUUUCUGAGAAAAGGCCGAGUUCCGACUGCA